rnacentral:rRNA from 1 species
UACGUAGGCAGCAAGCGUUGUUCGGAAUUACUGGGCGUAAAGAGUGUGUAGGCGGUGUUCUAAGUUUGUCGUGAAAUCUCCCGGCUUAACUGGGAGGGUGCGGCGAAAACUGGAAUGCUAGAGGAUGGGAGAGGUAAGCGGAAUUCCUGGUGUAGCGGUGAAAUGCGUAGAUAUCAGGAGGAACACCUGUGGUGUAGACAGCUUACUGGACCAUUUCUGACGCUGAGGCGCGAAAGCUAGGGGAGCAAACAGG